rnacentral:lncRNA from 1 species
CUGUUUGGUUUUUCCUGCACACUAACACACUCAUCAAAAUAAUUCAAAGAAGAUUUAAAUGAAGAUUGAGAGGCUGAUGGUUGUGAGGCUUUCUCCUUGGUAUUUCUCCGGUGAAGACCAAACAUCUUAUUCCUGAAAUAAUUACUCAACACAAAGGUUAGAUAAAUCCUCACACACUCAAGUGUUUAUCCUCACCCACUCAAGUGUUUCUCUCAGAUUUAGGUGAUCACACACAAGUUUCUACUCAAUGUUCUAAGAGAACAAAUCAAAGAAUCUCAAUGGGCAAAUCCAAGCAAACAAGGGAAUUGCUGAAGAUAGAAAGAUAAGAGAUUUUUUUUUUUUUAAUUUUUGAAAUCCGUUUUAACCACCUCAAAGGCUGGAUUUCU